rnacentral:rRNA from 1 species
UAAGGAAUAUUGGUCAAUGGACGCAAGUCUGAACCAGCCAUGCCGCGUGAAGGAUGAAGGUCCUCUGGAUUGUAACUUCUUUUAUCUGGGACGAAAACGGGAUUUUUAUCUCAAUUGACGGUACCAGAGGAAUAAGCACCGGCUAACUCCGUGCCAGCAGCCGCGGUAAUACGGAGGGUGCGAGCGUUAUCCGGAUUUACUGGGUUUAAAGGGUGCGUAGGUGGGCUUAUAAGUCAGUGGUGAAAUCUCCGAGCUUAACUUGGAAACUGCCGUUGAUACUAUAGGUCUUGAAUUAUCUGGAGGUAAGCGGAAUAUGUCAUGUAGCGGUGAAAUGCUUAGAUAUGACAUAGAACACCAAUUGCGAAGGCAGCUUACUACAUAUAAAUUGACGCUGAGGCACGAAAGCGUGGGGAUCAAACA